GACGAACGCUGGCGGCGUGCUUAACACAUGCAAGUCGAGCGGCGCGGCGAACGGGUGAGUAACGCGUGAGUAACUGCCCCCCUCUCUGGGAUAACAGUUGGAAACGGCUGCUCAUACCGAAUAGUGUGGGAUGACUCGCGGCCUAUCAGCUUGUUGGUGGGGUAGUGUCCUACCAAGGCGACGCCGGGUAGCCGGCCUGAGAGGGCGAGCGGCCACAUUGGGCUGAGGUACGACCCAAAGUCCUACGGGGGGCAGCAGUGGGGAAUAUUGCACAAUGGGGGAAACGCUGAUGCAGCAACGCGCGUGCGGGAUGACGGCCUUCGGGUUGUAAACCGCUUUCAGCCAUGACGCGGUAGUGGCAGAAGAAGCACCGGCUAACUACGUGCUAGCAGCCGCGGUAAUAC
rnacentral:rRNA from 1 species